rnacentral:lncRNA from 1 species
UUUUUUCUCUUUUUCUAUUUUCUGUUUUAUUUUCUUUUAUUCCAUUUAUUUUUAAAAAUUUAUAACUAUUUUAUUUGGAAUCACAAAAAUAUGAGACCAAUUGCAAAAAAAUUCUUUUAAAAGCUAGUUUCAUAAUCUGAUUUUUAAUUAUUUUUGUGAUUCCAUUUAAUAUUUUUUGUGAAUUAUUUUAUUUUUGAUAGUCUU